UUUGAAGGUCAGCGGCGGACGGGUGAGUAACACGUGGGCAACCUGCCUGUGAGACUGGGAUAACUUCGGGAAACCGGAGCUAAUACCGGAUAAUAUAAGGAACCUCCUGGUUCUUUAUUGAAAGAUGGUUUCGGCUAUCACUCACAGAUGGGCCCGCGGCGCAUUAGCUAGUUGGUGAGGUAACGGCUCACCAAGGCGACGAUGCGUAGCCGACCUGAGAGGGUGAUCGGCCACACUGGGACUGAGACACGGCCCAGACUCCUACGGGAGGCAGCAGUAGGGAAUCUUCCACAAUGGACGAAAGUCUGAUGGAGCAACGCCGCGUGAGCGAUGAAGGCCUUCGGGUCGUAAAGCUCUGUUGUUAGGGAAGAACAAGUGCGAGAGUAACUGCUCGCACCUUGACGGUACCUAACCAGAAAGCCACGGCUAACUACGUGCCAGCAGCCGCGGUAAUACGUAGGUGGCAAGCGUUGUCCGGAAUUAUUGGGCGUAAAGCGCGCGCAGGUGGUCCUUUAAGUCUGAUGUGAAAGCCCACGGCUCAACCGUGGAGGGUCAUUGGAAACUGGGGGACUUGAGUGCAGAAGAGGAAAGUGGAAUUCCAA
rnacentral:rRNA from 1 species